GACGAACGCUGGCGGCGUGCUUAACACAUGCAAGUCGUACGGUAAGGCCCUUUCGGGGGUACACGAUUGGCGAACGGGUGAGUAACACGUGAGUAACCUGCCCACAACUUUGGGAUAACGCUAGGAAACUGGUGCUAAUACUGGUUAUGUGCUCCUGCUGCAUGGUGAGGGUUGGAAAGCUCCGGCGGUUGUGGAUGGACUCGCGGCCUAUCAGCUUGUUGGUGGGGUAGUGGCCUACCAAGGCGGCGACCGGUAGCCGGCCUGAUAGGGUGACCGGCCACAUUGGGACUGCGAUACGGCCCAGACUCCUACGGGAGGCAGCAGUGGGGAAUAUUGCACAAUGGGCGCAAGCCUGAUGCAGCAACGCCGCGUGCGGGAUGACGGGCUUCGGGUUGUAAACCGCUUUCAGCAGGGACGAAGCUUUUUGUGACGGUACCUGCAGAAGAAGCACCGGCUAACUACGUG
rnacentral:rRNA from 1 species